GAUGAACGCUGGCGGCGUGCCUAAUACAUGCAAGUCGAGCGAAUGGAUUAAGAGCUUGCUCUUAUGAAGUUAGCGGCGGACGGGUGAGUAACACGUGGGUAACCUGCCCAUAAGACUGGGAUAACUCCGGGAAACCGGGGCUAAUACCGGAUAACAUUUUGAACCGCAUGGUUCGAAAUUGAAAGGCUGCUUCGGCUGUCACUUAUGGAUGGCCCCGCGUCGCAUUAGCUAGUUGGUGGGGUAACGGCUCACCAAGGCAACGAUGCGUAGCCGACCUGAGAGGGUGAUCGGCCACACUGGGACUGAGACACGGCCCAGACUCCCACGGGAGGCAGCAGUAGGGAAUCUUCCGCAAUGGACGAAAGUCUGACGGAGCAACGCCGCGUGAGUGAUGAAGGCUUUCGGGUCGUAAAACUCUGUUGUUAGGGAAGAACAAGUGCUAGUUGAAUAAGCUGGCACCUUGACGGUACCUAACCAGAAAGCCACGGCUAACUACGUGCCAGCCGCCGCCGUAA
rnacentral:rRNA from 1 species